ACGCCAAUAGAAGGAUGGCUUGGCUUGAGAAGAGAUGAAGGACGUGGCAAGCUGCGAUAAGCUUAGGGUAGGUGCAGGCGACCUAUGAUCCUGAGAUGUCCGAAUAGGAAUCCGAUGCGUAAGCAUACUCAAUUACAAUGGUAGUUGAGAUCGAACCGUGGGAAGUGAAGCAUCUGAGUACCACGUGGAAAAGAAAUCAACAGAGAUUUCCCAAGUAGCGGCGAGCGAAACGGAAAUAGCCCAAACUGAAUCUGACAUGGUAACAUGUUAGAGAUGUGGUGUGUUAUGGUAUUACGAUCCUCAAAUCUGAGCUUAAGUAGACUGGAAUGUCUUGGCGAAGAAGGUGAAACCCCCGUGAGCUAAAGAAGAGAGGAUCUUACCAUAUCGAGAGUAGUUGUCCUUGGUAGUGGGCAAUGAAUAUGGGUGAAAGUAGCACCCAAGGCUAAAUAUUUCUCAAGACCGAUAGCGGAGUAGUACCGCGAGGGAAAGCUGAAAAGUACCCCGGAAGGGGGGUGAAAAGUGCCUGAAAUCAUUUGGUUACAGACGUUCAUGGCAUGAAAGGAGUUUUUGUCAGACUGGAGGUUCUAGCAAUAGAGCUGAAGGUCUGGCGUUCUUAGCUCCAGUGUCAUGUGUUCCGUCUAGAAACACGGGCCAGGGAGCUUACCGUCAUGGCAAGCCUAAAUCUUAACAGGAUGGAGGCGAAGGGAAACCAAGUUCUCGCAGUGCUAAACGAGGAGAAGCGUGUGAAAGUGCGUUGAGUCAUGGCGGCAAGGCUAGAAACCAGACGAUCUAUCCCUGAACAAGACGAAGUUGGGCGAAAGCCCGAUGGAGGUCUGAAGCAGUUCUAACGUGCAAUUUGUUUGUGUGAUUUGGGGAUAGGGGUCAAAAACCAAUCUAGUCUGGUGAUCGCUAGUUCCUAACGAAGUGUAUCGUAGUACAGACUCUGUGGAGGCAGCGUGUCCUGUAGAGCACCGAUAGGGUAUGUCGGGUGAGAAAUCAUUCGCUACCCCUUCAAACUCCGAAGGGAUGCGCACCUACGAAGCAGGGAUACGGAUUUACGUGGCGUAAGGCUCGUAAUCAAGAGGGGGACAACCCAGACUGAGGUUAAGGUCCCCAAGUUUUUGCUAAGUGUCAAACUAAAGGGCGUAUUAAGGCCAAGACAGCAGGGAGGUAAGCUCAGAAGCAGCUAUCCUUUAAAAAGUGCGUAACAGCUUACCUGCCGAGCCUUGAUGCCCCAAAAAUGGACGGGGCUAAAGCAAAGCACCGAUACCUCGGAUUCUUAUGGAUACAUAAGGCAUGGUAGUUAGGCGUAGGGAUUGGGCAGAAGCAGGGCCGUGAGGUCCUGUGGACCGGUUCCUAUUGCAGAUCCUGGCGGCAGUAACAGCAUAGUGGAGUGAGAAUCUCCACCAUCGUAAGCGUAAGGGUUUCCCGGCAAUGCGUCGUCAGCCGGGAGUUAGUCGAUCCUAAGAUCAACCUCAACAGAAUUGAUCGAAUUGGGAAACUUGUUAAUAUUCAAGUACCUUGCAGAUGCGUUAUAAUCUAGAAAUCGCUUUCGGAUAGGGCGUGCAGAACCAUCGUUCUGUUUAACAGCUCAAGGGUUAGGGAGUGUCGUAAUGACGAGAACUUCCCCGAGACUGGAAUGGCUUGGCGUUAGCUGAGUUUGCUCAAAUCCAAGAGACCUUGAAAAAUUUCGUAGUGAGCUAUCUGUAAUGAUCGUACCGAGAACCGACACAGGUGCGCUGGAUGAGAAGUCUAAGAUGUAUCGGGUAUACCGUAGGCGAGGGAAUUCGGCAAAAUAGUCCUGUACCUUUGGUAUAAGGGAUGCCUGCAGCGGUAAUGUAGAAUUGCCGUCGCAGGUCGCAGUGACAAGGGGGUCCCGACUGUUUAAUAAAAACACAGGUGACUGCUAGCGAGAAAUCGUUUGUAUAGUCACUGAAUCCUGGCCAGUGCAGGUACCUAAAACUUGGGUUCAACUGAGCUAAGGGCCUGUAAACGCCGGGAGUAACUCUGACUCUCUUAAGGUAGCCAAAUGCCUUGUCGGGUAAGUUCCGACGUGCAUGAAUGGAACAACGAGGGCCCCGCUGUCCCCGCCUACAACCCGGUGAAGCCACAUAAGCUGGACGAACAGUCCAGCAUCUUCCAUCGGGGAGAGAAGACCCCGUGGAGUUUUACUGCAGCUUGUGCUUGUAGUAUGGUGAAAUUUGCAUAGAGUAACUGGUAGACAUGCUAACGCCUUUUCGGGGGCGUUGGAAUCGAAAGUGUAACACCAGUCAUUUUUCUUCGUACUACUUACCAUCCGCAAGGAUGGGACAGGUGCAGGUGGGCAGUUCGGCUGGGGCGGCACCCCUUUGAAAAGAUAUCAAAGGGGCCCAAAGUUCGGUUCAAACGGGUCAGAAAUCCGUUGAAGAGGGCAAGGCCACAAACUGGACUGACUGGAUCUCCAAACGCACGGGAUUCAGAGAAGAAAUUCGGGCCUAGCGAUCCAUGACGUCCCCACUAUUGGGGGCUCGUGGUGACAGAAAAAUUACCCCAGGGAUAACAGGCUCGUCGCGGGCGAGAGCUCCUAUCGACCCCGCGGUUUGGUACCUCGAUGUCGGCUUUUCCCAUCCUGGCCCUGCAGCAGGGGCCAAGGGUGAGGCUGCUCGCCUAUUAAAGGGGAACAUGAGCUGGGUUUAGACCGUCGUGAGACAGGUCGGACUCUGCCUGAUGGAAGCGUGGUUGCUUGAGGGGAAGUUGCUCCGAGUACGAGAGGAACAGAGCAGCGUGGCCUCUGGUUUAACGGUUGUCUGAUAAGGCAGGCCGUGCAGCUAAGCCAUUUGGGCUAACUCCUGAAAGCAUCUAAGGAGGAAUCCCAUCCCGAGAAAAGGCAACCCGUCGUAAGACAUAGGGUGGCCGCAGAAGACGGCUUUGAUAGAACAGCAGUGUAGAUCCCAAGCUUCGGCGAGGGGUGAGCUGGCUGUCACUAACAACCCAAUACAUCAGUC
rnacentral:rRNA from 1 species